UACGUAGGCAGCGAGCGUUGUUCGGAAUUACUGGGCGUAAAGAGUGUGUAGGCGGUGCUCUAAGUCUGUCGUGAAAUCUCCCGGCUUAACUGGGAGGGUGCGGCGGAAACUGGAGUGCUAGAGGGUGGGAGAGGAAAGCGGAAUUCCUGGUGUAGCGGUGAAAUGCGUAGAUAUCGGGAAGAACACCCGUGGCGAAGGCGGUUCUCUGGGACGGUACUGACGCUGAGACGCGAAAGCGUGGGGAGCGAACAGG
rnacentral:rRNA from 1 species